rnacentral:lncRNA from 12 species
UGAUAACAGUACAUUUUUCCUUUGUGUAGGGAAAGCUGGGAUGGCUCUGAUGUCCUGCUUGGCACUCCUCUGCUCGGGGGCUUGUGCCACUGUCAGGGAAAAGACUGCUUCUCUGGAGACCUCUCAGGGAUCUCUGGGGUGUCUUGUCUGUGCACUUGUGCUGACAUCUGGUGGCAAAAAACGAAUUCAGAAGAAAUUGAAUAAAGAUGGCAG